UACGUAGGUGGCAAGCGUUGUCCGGAUUUACUGGGCGUAAAGAGCGCGCAGGCGGUCGUUCAAGUCGCGUGUGAAAGCCCCCGGCUCAACUGGGGAGGGUCACGCGAUACUGAUCGACUCGAAGGCAGGAGAGGGUAGUGGAAUUCCCGGUGUAGUGGUGAAAUGCGUAGAUAUCGAGAGGAACACCAGUGGCGAAGGCGAGUCCCUGGACAACACCUGACACUGAGGCACGAAAGCCAGGGGAGCAAACGGG
rnacentral:rRNA from 1 species